UACUUUUAGCUUUUAGUUUAAUUUAAUUAGUUUUGUUUCUUUAGAAUUAAUAAAAUUCAAAACCCCCUGCUUUCUUUAUUGUUAGUGUGUGUGAAUACUUGAGUUCACUUUAAUAAUUGGUCAAUCAUUCUCUUUGGGGUUGACCUUUACUUACUCUUGUUACAAGUUAGUCUAGUAGAGUACCUUAUUUAAUUGGUGCAUUCAGCACGGAUCAAAUCUUGGUGCCAUUGGUAGGGAGUGAUUUUGCAUUGAUCAGUAAAUCUGAAUUCAAGUGUGUUUAAAGUUUUCUUUUAGUGUUCUCUUUCAGGUUGUAUGUGUGGUGGAGAUAUCGACAUAAGGCUUCAAUGCAUUAAGGAUUUUUUGAAAUAUUAAUCAGAAUCUACAAGCUCAUCUCA
rnacentral:misc_RNA from 1 species